GAGACACCCCUCCGGGGCAAGACUUGCUGCAGUGGGGCUUUGGUGCUCACUGAGUCUGCCCCUUGAGUGUGUCCCU
rnacentral:pre_miRNA from 1 species